UUAGGCCAUCCUCUUAUAUUGUCUGCCAAAAAUAGAACUACUGCUUAUGAUUUUGUCUUAGACAAGUUAAAAAGUAAACUUAAUGGUUACAAAGCUAACAAGAUUUCUCAUGCGGGCAGACUUGUUCUAAUCAAAUCAGUUUUAGCCGCUCUUCAUGUGUACUAUAUGUCUAAUAUUUUGUUUUCCAAGAAGAUGUUGGCUAAAAUGAAUGCAGUGAUAAGAGACUUCUGGUGGACUGGUGUUCAAGAGGAGAAUUAGGCCUGGCUAUCGAGCAUGCUCGGCUCGUUAUGCUCGUUAACCUUAACGAACAUCAAAACAUGUUUGGCUCAGUUCGUUUACUGCUCGCGAGCGCUCGUUAAGCUCGUUAGUGGUGAAAAAAAUGGUCAGCAUGUAUGCAGAAAAAAUGACAAGCAAAGCAUGUGUACAACAUUAUACAAUAAGUCCAUAACUAAUAAGACUAAUAACCAUUACAGGCUACGACACAAAUACUCAUAAGACUAGCAGCCAUUAUAGCUUCGGUGUCCUCAUACAGUACAAUACAAAAGCACUAAUAAGACUAAUAUUAGUUUGACGAGAGUACGAAACGAGGAGGAGACUAGAGACCCGACUAACCUAACGAGUCUUGGGAUUGGGCCGCAUUCAGGCAGUUGGGCUAUUCGGGAGGGUGUGCUGGGCCUAACAAGUCGUGGGUUACUGUGUUUGGUUUGACCGCCAGACGCCAGAUAACGAGCUAACGAGCAUGCUCGCGAGUCUCGCUAGCUCGGCUCGUUAAGCUCUUUAGUGUUAACGAGUUUCAGGAGGUGCUCUACUCUGCUCUUUAGUCUAACGAGCCGAGUACUAAACGAGUCGAGCUACUCUCCGAAUACCGAGUAAAAUGUCCAGGCCUAAGGAGAAUCAAAAGAAGCCCCUCUACCUCAAGGCUUGGGCUGAGAUUUGUAAAUUCAAAAAAAAAGGUGGUCUAGGAAUUAGAAAUUUAGAAGCUGUCAACAAAGCUAUUCUAGUUAAUUCUGCUUGGAAAAUUGUCACCACUAAUCAUAGCACUACAGCAAGGAUCUUAAAUCUAAAUAUUUUCCAUAUACCUUUUUCUGGAAAGCGCCCACUGAUAUUCCUAAGUCCGCUUUUUGGUCUUCAAUUCUUAAGGUGAGGAAACCUCUUAUCAAUGUUGUUACUUUGCAAAUAUCCAAAGGUAAUACUUGCAUUUGGUCUGGUCCUUGGUGUCUUUUCUGAAAUAACAUUCACAAGUCUUUUUAUCCAGAAUUCUGGUUUUCAUUAUCCUACUAUGAUUAAAGAUCUUUGGAUUCAUAAUACACAAGUUUGGAAUAUGCAACUUUUAGUUACUCUCUUUGGUCAACAAAAAGUUAAUAUUGUCUCCCAGAUUCCUAUGAAUGCCGACCACAAAAUGUUGUGUGGGGGCCAAUAAUUAAGGAGGGUAAAAAUCUGGAGGUGCUCAUCAGUGAACAAUUCCUUUCAGACUUAAAUCUGGUGGUUGCCGACACAAUAAUUGAGUGAGGUGAUAAGGUUGGCAGCUGCAUGCAUGUGCUCUGAACGCAUCAUUGUCCUUUUUGUCUCAAGAAGCAAUAGAUGCUAGCUGAUCUCCUCCCCCCAAUAAAGUUACUCUGCUUACAAGCUCCAGGCCUGCAAGCAGCGGAUCUCAUCGCCGGGCACCGAAAAUCAUAUCAUCGUUCUUACCAGGUAACAGAAACUCCCUUUGUUUUCUUGCCCGAUUUCUCCUCCUCCUCUCUGGAUUGCCCCAACGUGCCAUCCUCCUUCUUUCUUGGAAGAAUCGGUCCAACGAAGAAGUAACACCUUGAUUUGAUUUCAGGGAGAGAUCACCUUCGUUUGAUUUCAGUAUCUCGAUCGAGCACUUGAUCAGGUGCUUUUUCGCGGAGGAUCCCCUGACGUACGGCCGUGUGCUUUUUUCGCUAUCUCCUUCUAAUCAAUUUGUUGCCUAACGCUACUGGCAGCAGUUUAGUCCGACUGUACAAAAUAAAAGGACACUGGGCAGUCUAGUUCUUUAAUAUGUGCUCAUUUUUGUUGUCUUGGUGCAGUUGCUCACAAAUCCCAAUAUAUAGCUACUACAUGAUCCUGAAGAUCUGGGAAUUGUUUAUUCCAUCAACUACACAUGCAUAAACCAAAAGAGGUUUCUUCCCUUCAAAGCAACCACUGCAUCGGUUUACUCCAUCAACUACACUAGCUAGUUGGAGAGAACUUUGUUCUGAUCGGGUGGAACCAAAUGGCUGAACUUUUGGUGAGCGCUUCCACGGGCGCCAUGGGUUCCCUACUUGGAAAGCUGGGCACCAUGCUGAGCGAUGAAUACAAGCUGCUCAAGGGUGUUCGUGAUGACAUCAAGUUCCUCAAGGAUGAGCUUGAGGCGAUGCAAGCAUUCCUCUUGAUGAUGGCAGAUGUGGAGGAACCUGACCAGCAAUCCAAGCUCCGUGCAAAUGCUGUGCGGGAGCUGUCAUACGAGAUCGAGGACAGCAUAGACAAGUUCAUGGCACUCGUGGAAGAUGAGCCUAGUUCCAAGUCCGAAGGUAUCAUGAGGCUUUUUAACAGUACCAAGGACAAGAUAACAAACAUCAAGACCCGCCAUAAGAUUGCCAAGGACGUCAAAGACAUCAAGAGCCAAGUAAAGGUGGUCAGCGAGAGAUACGCAAGGUAGGUACACAAACAAAUUUUGUAGAGCCCUUUGCAUUUUAAGGUCUUUCUGUACCAUCAGUGACAUAUACCCCGUGCCAUCAAAUUUGAUCACUUAUUUGGCCUUCUUAUGUCUAACUUCUUGCCCUGCCACUGAAGGUACAAGAUCGAUGAGUCCGCCAGAACUAGACAUGAAAAGGUCGACCCUCGACUGUGUGAGGUCUAUAAAGAUGCGUCAGAACUUGUUGGGAUCGAUGGUCCGACAGAUGAGCUUAUGAAGUGGUUGAGUGACAAGGAGGGUGAAGCGGCACAUCACCUUAAAGUUGUAUCUAUUGUUGGAUAUGGAGGGUUGGGGAAAACGACUCUUGCUAAACAGAUGUAUGACAAGAUUGGAACAAACUUUGAAUGUCGGGCCUUUGUGUCAAUUUCUCGAAGUCCUGAUAUGACGAAGAUCUUGAGUUCUAUAUUAUCUGAAAUCAGCAAUGGAAAGGAACAUCCUAGAUCGACGUACCAGCAAAUUAUCGACCAGAUUAGAGAUUUCCUGAAAGAUAAAAGGUAAUGUAACCAUAGUGUACAUAAGGUAAUAUUUGUAUUUGUACCAUUUCUCCAAAUGCACAGGCCGGAAAGGUUUUGUUCUAUUAUCAUAAAAAACGCAAGUCCUAAAACCUUUUGUAGCUCAGCCACAUUUCAUAUCCUUCCAUGGUUUUGAAAUACACAAAUCUUACCACAAUUAGUUUGUUAUGGCUUAAUUUUAAUUGCUACAAAUUAUUGCGUAGACUGCAAAGUCAAAUUCUACCUAAUUUAAGCGCCGUGAGACAUGUCUGAAAUCAUUGGUGAACUGUUUCUAGUUCAAGGUUUUGUAAAUAAUUAUCAAUACUUGAUCUUUCGUAACAAUUCUAUAACAAUUGGGGUGGGUUCCCCCCUUUUCCCAGAAUAGUCGCAGCAAAACAAAAGCUCACAUAAUGUAUGUUGCUUUUUAAAAAUUCUCCAAUUCAUACAUGUAAUGGGAUAAACGUAAAAUAGCACAACUUAUUUUGGCGCAUAGACGAUUACUUAGAAAUAUCAAUUAUUACCUCCUAAAGGAUUAUUUACAAAUUGAAAUGGCAGAAUAACAAUAACUAGUAAUUAAAUUAAAUCUUGAAGCACUACAAAAUUCCACAUUUGGAAGAUUGAAUCUGCAAACUUCUACAACUUCGAGAAAACACAAAGCUUGUGUCUCGGUGUAUUGAAAAGUAAGGAGUUUUACAAGCCGGACAGGCUGAGUACAACGUUUUUGUGAGGACUAAGCAACAUCCCACCCUGGGAUAACUAAACGCAACCCUUACGUGCCUCCCAAGGUCCACGCAAUGGCUUCGUAUUGGUUUGAUCGCAGAAGUAGAUUUCCAUCCAGUCUGCUCUUGUUGAAGAUGCACGCGUUUCGGUGCUUCAACAACAUCCAGGCCGUCAGCAGGCAGCAGCACCAUGCUGGAGAAGCCCUUUCUGAGCACUUUUGCCAUGGCUGGCUUAGCUGUUCUCCACCAGACAACUAGGUCCUCAUCGGCGGCUGGCGGCGCCGCAGUGGAUCAAACCCAAGACAACACUUCAAGCGAAGUGAUCGUAGAAGAGGCAGGCAGUGUAAUGCUCAAGGCCAUGGCGUUCUCGGCGCAUUUUCAUAUUUUAGGUAGCCAUAAAUCUCAGACGGUAAGAACAUUUUGCAAUAAGACUACUCGAAAGGACAUAUUUUAAAUUAACCAAUGACCUAUAAAUAAUCUAGCUAUAUCUAUACCGAUAAUACAUAGGACGAGUUAGGAUGGUUUAAUUUUGACCCAAGCUUUCUAGAAUCUUUAAUAUAAUUCUGUAAUGAUCUACCAAUAGUUGCACACAAGUAAUGGUGCACCCUUGAUCAUUCUUGUAAUUAUGAUAUUUUCGUGAUCUCAUUUUGUAUAGAUGAGAAUUGUUGUUUCUCUGUCCCUUUUUUAUGAUAUUUCUGAAAUAAGACUAGACAUACAGGUGCAGUGUAGGUUUUGUAAAAAAAACAGAGACCUGAUGUUGAAUUUAUACUAUAGCGGACAUACCUUAUAUAUUGUUCAAAGUGUGCACUGCACAUGUAUGAUUGCUAAUGUAUAUAUUAGUGAAUGGUAUAGCACACGUAUUCUAUUCAGUUCAUUACUACAAAUGUCAUGUGAACCUUGUAUCGAUACUCCUAUAGCACAUGAUGUUAUUUAAUAUUUUUUCCUAUAACUAUAUUGCAGGUACUUUAUCAUAAUUGAUGAUGUAUGGGACAUACAAUCGUGGAAAAAUUUGGACUGUGCACUGGUCAAGAAUGAUUGUGGUAGUGUAAUAAUGACCACAACACGUAAAAAUAAUGUAGCUGAAUCUUGCUGCUCUUCUCAUGGGGAUCUUGUGUACAAAAUCCAACCACUUGGUGUAGCUGACUCAAAGAAGUUAUUUUUCAAGCGAAUAUUUGGUUGUGAAGAAAAGUGCCCUCCUAACUUAAAAGAAGCAUCGGAAGAUAUUUUAAAAAGAUGUGGUGGUUUGCCACUGGCCAUCAAUGCCAUAUCUAGCUUGCUGGCUACUGGGAAAACAAAAGAAGAGUGGGAUCGCGUACGGCUUUCAAUUAGCUUUGCACAAGGGAAAACUUGUGACAUUGAUGCCAUGAAUUACAUAUUAUCUCUGAGCUACUUUGACCUUCCUCUUGAUCUAAGAAGUUGCCUAUUAUACUUGACUAUGUUUCCUGAAGAUUCUGUGGUUGAAAGGCAACGAUUAGUACACAGAUGGAUUUCUGAGGGUUUCAUCCAUGGCAAAGGCGGGGAAGAUCUUAUUGAGCUAGGAGUGGCAUAUUUUCAUGAGCUUGUGAACAGAAGUUUAAUACAGCCGGUGAAUAUAGGGUAUGAUGGUAAGGCAUGGGAUUGCCGAGUCCAUGACACCAUUCUUGAUUUCCUCAUUUGCAAGUCUAUUGAAGAGAACUUCUGUACAUUCUUAAGCGAUCAUAUAAAACGAGAUAGCAAAAUUCGCCGGCUUUGUCUCACUGGAAAUAAAGAUCAAGGCAGGGUGGAGCAAUUGGAUUUAUCACAUGCUCGAUCACUUGCUAUUUUUGGCAAAGCCGAUCUAAUUCCUUCCCUUGUGAAGUCAAAUGCUCUGCGGGUGCUGGAUCUAGCAGAUUGCAAUGGAUUGAAGAAUCAUCAUAUCAAAGAUAUUGGAAGACUUUGUCAGCUGAGAUACUUGACCACCAGUCGGUCAAGUAUACGGCCAAGUAUACGGUUAAGUAUACUGUUAAGUAUAAGUGAGCUUCCUAAACAGAUUGGAGACUUGGUGUAUCUGGAGACGCUAGACGUGUCCAACUCAAUGUUAGUUGAGCUGCCUGAAUCGGUUACUCGUCUAAAACGACUGGCGCGGCUUUUUGUUCCAAGAUAUACUAAAUUGCCUGAUUGUAUUGGAAACAUGGAGAAGUUGCAAGAGCUUGGGAAUUUUAUAGACAUUUUUGAGCAAUCAGUGAAGUUUGUUGAAGAGCUUGGCAAACUAAUAAAUCUGAGGAAACUGAGUGUUUAUUUGGACGACAAAGCAAGCUACAAGAAAAAAGAAAUGAUAGUGUCCUCCCUCUGUAAACUGGACACAUGCAAGCUUCACACCCUCUCUAUUCAGUUUUCAAUUGAAGGAAAGGAUGCUGGAACCUUGAUAGAGGGGCAUCCAUUUUUUAUCCCUGCUCUCAAAUGCAUUCGAGAGAUUUACCUCGCCAAUAAGCAACUCUGUUGGAUUACCAAAUGGAUUAUUUCACUCGCCAACCUAGAGAAAUUAACUCUCUGCGGCCAGUGGGUAGUGCAGCAGGAUGUUGAGAUGGUUGGAAGCAUACCUAGUCUGCUCGAAUUUUUUGGGCCAAAGUUCGCAAAACCUGUCAUCAUUCGCAGCAGUGGGGGGUUUCAACGGUUGCAGGCGUUCACGUUCUGGUUGCAUGAUAGAGAGUUUAUGUUUGAAGCGGGGGCUAUGCCGAAUGUCAGGAAGCUCUUCAUCAACAUUUGUCUAAUAGAUAUCAAAUGUGCAAGUGGUGGUCGUGGUGGUUUUGAUGAUAUUGGCAUCCACCACCUCUCCAGCCUUGCUGAGCUCUAUGUACAGAUAUUUUGUCAUGGCGUGAAAGUUGCAGAUGUGGAGGCUGUGGAGGUUGCUUUCAAGAGCAUGGCCGAAGCACACCCCAACCGUCCUAAGUUGAAAUUGAUGAGAGCAUAAGGUAAUUUUAUGGUAAGGGAUGAUUAGUGAUUUCCCUCUCUAUCGAGACCAGACGGUGAUCGGAUAUGACGAGAUGCUGAAGGAGAAUUACAAGGUGAGGGGAUGCACGGAAGUCGUGCUUCCGCAAGCACGACUGGAGCUACGGUUUUUUCUUACUUCAUCUCUCUUAGAUGCUGAUGCUACCUGCGGCUGCCAGAUCGAUCAGGCCAGUGUAGUUUUAUUGUUUUCCCUGUGCUUUAAUAUCUGAACAUUUCUCGUGAUUUUUCACCACCCAGCUUUGCUUGCAUCAGCUGCUUGGUGUGGUGGUUAUCAUCUUAAAGAAUGAUAUAUGUGGUUCACUUGCAGUACGUCUCGAUGGAAUAUCUGAUAACGCCUGGGGUUAAGCUGUUUUUGGUGAUAAAUUUGUGCGUGGCUGGCUAGCUCAUUUACAGUCUUUAGAGACAAAUAACAUCCAUAUCAUAUCCUAAAGCCGGUGGAUUGUUCGGCCUCUCAGCGCUCCCCCGAGGCUUGACUGGCUUCCUUUUAUUUGGACGGGCGUUGUCAAAGAGGGAGGGAAAGCAGGGAGCUUAUUGGGGGCUCACUCGCGAUCUCGAGCUGGCGACCCCACGCUCCUCCCACCACCUCGCCUCCGCCAUCGCGGCCGCGGGUCUCCUAGCCGCCGCCGCCGCCCCCCACGCCGCCCAGCGCAGCUGCCGCACGCCCCCGGCGCGGGCGGCGCCGCCACCCUUGACUCUUUAUUUCUCUUCUCUUAUCCUCAAUCCCCAGCCCCGAACAGAUCUCUCUCGCACGAAACUCCUCUCUCGAUCCACAACCGCACGCGCUCCGCCCCGCCCCGUCCCCCGGCGGCAAGACCUGUGGGCCUGGCCCGAACCCUGAGAGCAACGAACCCCUAGCGGCACCGGCCGGGCCGCCGCCCAUCUCCUCCUUCCUCGUCCUUCGCGACUGCUCCUUCGCAGGUCACCACAGCAGAGCCUCCUUCUGUAAUUCGUGGUUACAACUGCUUGCGGGGUGCGGGGUCCGGAAUCACGGGGAGUCCAGUGCCAGAAGGCUGCCGUCUACGCCUGGCCUCCGCUGCUCCGGUCUUCCAUUCCACGUUCUGAAUUUGAGGUAAGUUCUUGAUCUAGAGGACUUAUUGGUUCGUGAUUUGGCUAGGGAUUUGGUUCUUAAUCUUAAUCUCAGGGGAAAUUUGUUCUUGUUCUUUCAGUUCUGCUCCUCCUCCUUUCUCCGUCGACAUUAUAUUGAUGCACUGCGGUCUACUCAUAGAGUAGCACUAUUAUAAGAUACAAAAAAAAAUGCUAUUCCGUAUUAAGAAUGCUCAUGAUAGUUUUCUAAUAAGGAUGUAGAAUGAAUCUGAUGUUGUUAGUUUCAGUGAUCUUUGGUGCUGGUAAUACGCAUGAUUGUGCCCUUAUUAAAUCUAUUGGUUCGAGUUUCUUAUCAAUCCAUUUCAUUCCUGAUAAUUGCAAGAUGACAUUCUUUUUCAUUUUCAGUUAUGCAGUUCUAUUUCUUGACGGGAGUUCUUUUUCAGUUUUAGUUAUUCUUCUUAAAUUUGUUACCUUCUGAUGUUGAACUAUAUAUGCUCUCCACUAUGUUCUUCAGCAUGCUGCUAGGCUGCUUAACAUUGCUAAGACAUGUGAACUUCUAAUGAUCCUUUGAAUAUGAGAUUCAUGUAUUCUGUUAGAGUUUACUGCAUGUUAGUUAGAGAUACAUGCAUACUAAUUAGAGAUACUGCAUGUAAGAGUUUCUACUGCAGAUUGUAUAUGACUGCUUUGUAUCUCAUAUUGCUCAAUGUGGAAUUGUGGAGUUUGAUUUGCCGAAAGAUGAGGAUAGGACCAUGAACAAGACUUGCAAGUGUACAAGUAAUCAAGAGAAGUUGAUACUUCUGGUUAUGAGAGUGAUCUUUUCAGGAAUAAGAAUUGUAUUUAUGUAGUAUUGUAUCAAUUGUAUCAAGUUUGUUACUUCUGCAGUACAUCCUGGCUCGUUAAUUCGACUUGUGGGCAUGCCUUUACCUGUAGAAAAAAAAUAUGAAUUUAGUUGUGCAUGGCUGAUGUAUCUGAAAGACAAUCUUCAUAUAAUCUGACAGCUGGCAACCUAUGCACGGGAUAAACGGGCUGACGUUGUUGAGCCCAUAUGUCUCAGCUUCGUCCGUACGGUAGAGGUCGGCCGCUUCCCCAAGGGCCCGGUUGAGUGAAAAUCUUUCUUGCUUAUACCUGGAUGCGGAGCAGAUCUUGGUUGGAUAUGUGUGUGGAUUUUAUUACUAGCAAAAUGCAUAUCCAUACGUUUGUAUUAUUCUGAUAUGCGUUGAGUUCAAGUUCAUACAUUUUAUCCGUAUAUGUGUGAGUUCAAGUUCAUGUAUUUUGUUUUGACUUCUUCCGGAUAGCGUAUUGUUAAAAAAUUCUGCGUUGCAUUCUUAAGUUGAAGUUCGUGUUUUUGAAUUCUUUUGGGACUCUGUGCUCUUAAUACAUCUUGUUUGUGGAAGAAUAUACAUCCAUAUGUGCAAAAUGUUGGCUCAUAUGGUUGCUUUGUGUUUUCGAUUUGAGGAUUCGGAGCAUAAAACAUUAAGUGGUACAGAAUAUCUAGAUAAUGUAAUCUUCGUCAACUUGAAAAGUACUGGAGAUUCUAUUUUGACCAAAAAAAAAUUCAAUGACUGGAGAUUCUAUUUUGACAAGAAAAAAAAUCGAUGAGAGCACGAAUAAAUGGUACCAAAUUGAUUGCCUUUUUUCGUAAAUAAUUAUAAACGAUGAUACUAAGUUCACUGAUUAAUUAUUGCACAUUUGGUGAUUAAUAUUCAAAGAAUAUAAUGUUUGGAAUCUGAAGUGUUAGAAAAAUAUGCAUCAAUUUUCAGGUAUGCGAUGCAAAAAUACAAGGUUGCAUAAUGAAAAAACAACUACAAAACAUAGCAAUUUAUUUUUGCGUGAUUGUCACAAAAAACAUGAGAAAAGUGUUGCCUAGAUCGUUUUAGUUUUGUCAACAACGCAGCGAAGCGCGCGUCCCCUGCUAGUAUGCCUAUAACUUUGGCCCAAAGGCCACCUCUAUUCUAAUUCUGCAGUGUAUAUAGGUAUCUUCCGAUCCAUAUUAGUUAUCGAAAUAUUACAUGUAUCUAGACACUUUUUAGACAUAGAUACAUCCAUAUUUGAGCAAAUUUGAGACAAUUAAUAUGAAUCGGAUAAAACCGUUUUUUUUUUGCCGUGAAUGAUAAGGGGUGCCAGUCAAAUCUAGCCAUCCAUGCAUACGGGUACUUUAGAUAUUUACUAACAAUCUUUUUUUUUCUUCCUAACAGCAAAGCCAAGACUUAAUAGUCUGUGGACAGACCACAAGGGAAGAAGCAACGACCAUUUCGAACACUUUGCAACAUUUUUGUUCUCUUUCAGGUCAAACUCCUAAUUAGGCCAAGUCUUCGGUUUUGUUUAGUAAGAAUGUGGUGGAUGCGCAGAGGGACAUCGUCAAAGGUAUUUUUAGAGUGGUAGAUAUGAAACCUGAAUCCUUCCAUUUAGGCCAUCCUCUUACAUUGCCUGCCAAAAAUAGAACUACUGCUUAUGAUUUUGUCUUAGACAAGUUAAAAAGUAAACUUAAUGGUUACAAAGCUAACAAGAUUUCUCAUGCGGGCAGACUUGUUCUAAUCAAAUCAGUUUUAGCCGCUCUUCAUGUGUACUAUAUGUCUAAUAUUUUGUUUUCCAAGAAGAUGUUGGCUAAAAUGAAUGCAGUGAUAAGAGACUUCUGGUGGACUGGUGUUCAAGAGGAGAAUCAAAAGAAGCCCCUCUACCUCAAGGUUUGGGCUGAGAUUUGUAAAUCCAAAAAAGAAGGUGG
rnacentral:lncRNA from 1 species